rnacentral:rRNA from 1 species
CGAGUGAACUAUUGUUAAGGAACUCUGCAAAAUGAGUCCGUAACUUCGGAAGAAGGACUGCUGGUUUUAUACCAGCCGCAGCAAAUAGGCCCAAACAACUGUUUAUCAAAAACACAGGUUUCUGCAAAAUCGUAAGAUGAAGUAUAGGGGCUGACGCCUGCCCAGUGCUGGAAGGUUAAAAGGAGGACUUAGCUUCGGCGAAGGUCUUAAUUGAAGCCCCAGUGAACGGCGGCCGUAACUAUAACGGUCCUAAGGUAGCGAAAUUCCUUGUCGGGUAAGUUCCGACCCGCAUGAAAGGCGUAAUGAUUUGGGCGCUGUCUCAACAAUAGACUCGGUGAAAUUUAAAUUCCAGUGAAGAUGCUGGGUACCCGCGACAGGACGGAAAGACCCCGUGGAGCUUUACUGUAGCUUGAUAUUGAAUGUUUGUGCUGCAUGUGCAGGAUAGGUAGGAGACUUUGAAGUCGGAACGCUAGUUUCGAUUGAGUCACCCUUGAGAUACUACCUCUGUUGUAUGAACGUUCUAACUCUGAUCAGUUAUCCUGAUCGAAGACAGUGUCUGGCAGGCAGUUUGACUGGGGCGGUCGCCUCCUAAAAGAUAACGGAGGCGCUCAAAGGUUUGCUCAGAAUGGUUGGAAAUCAUUCGUAGCGUGUAAAGGCAUAAGCAAGCUUGACUGUGAGACUGACAAGUCGAGCAGGUACGAAAGUAGGACUUAGUGAUCCGGUGGUUCCGUAUGGAAGGGCCAUCGCUCAACGGACAAAAGCUACCCCGGGGAUAACAGGCUCAUCUCCCCCAAGAGUCCACAUCGACGGGGAGGUUUGGCACCUCGAUGUCGGCUCAUCGCAUCCUGGGGCUGUAGUCGGUCCCAAGGGUUGGGCUGUUCGCCCAUUAAAGCGGUACGCGAGCUGGGUUCAGAACGUCGUGAGACAGUUCGGUCCCUAUCCGUCGUGGGCGCAGGAAAUUUGAGAGGAUCUGUCCUUAGUACGAGAGGACCGGGAUGGACAUACCUCUGGUGUACCAGUUGUUCUGCCAAGAGCACCGCUGGGUAGCUACGUAUGGAUUAGAUAAUCGCUGAAAGCAUCUAAGUGAGAAACUAACCUCGAGAUGAGAUUUCCCAUUCGUCAGAAGUAAGACCCCUGAGAGACGAUCAGGUAGAUAGGCUAGAAGUGGAAGUGUAGUGAUGCAUGGAGCGGACUAGUACUAAUAGGUCGAGGACUUAACCAAG